ACGGAGGGUGCAAGCGUUAUUCGGAAUUACUGGGCGUAAAGCGCGUGUAGGCGGUCCUGCAAGUCUGAUGUGAAAGCCCCGGGCUUAACCCGGGAAGUGCAUUGGAAACUGCAGGUCUUGAGUACUGGAGAGGAUGGGGGAAUUCCCGGUGUAGAGGGGAAAGUCGUAGAGAUCGGGGGGAAUAGCAGUGGCGAAGGCGACCAGCGGGACGGUAACUCAGGCUGAUCCGCGAAAGUGAGGGGAGGAAACAG
rnacentral:rRNA from 1 species